UACGUAGGUGGCGAGCGUUAUCCGGAAUGAUUGGGCGUAAAGGGUGCGUAGGCGGCCUGCUAAGUCUGGAGUGAAAGGUACCGGCUCAACCGGUACAGGCUCUGGAAACUGGCGGGCUAGAGAGCAGGAGAGGGCGGUGGAACUCCAUGUGUAGCGGUAAAAUGCAUAGAUAUAUGGAAGAACACCAGUGGCGAAAGCGGCUCUCUGGCCUGUAACUGACACUGAGGCUCGAAAGCGUGGGGAGCAAACAGG
rnacentral:rRNA from 1 species